AACGAACGCUGGCGGCAGGCUUAACACAUGCAAGUCGAACGAUAUAGUGGCAGACGGGUGAGUAACGCGUGGAAACGUGCCUUUCACUACGGAAUAGCUCUUGGAAACGAGUGGUAAUACCGUAUACGCCCUCCCGGGGGAAAGAUUUAUCGGUGAAAGAUCGGUCCGCGUUAGAUUAGCUAGUUGGUGGGGUAAUGGCCUACCAAGGCGACGAUCUAUAGCUGGUCUGAGAGGAUGAUCAGCCACACUGGGACUGAGACACGGCCCAGACUCCUACGGGAGGCAGCAGUGGGGAAUAUUGGACAAUGGGCGCAAGCCUGAUCCAGCCAUGCCGCGUGAAUGAUGAAGGCCUUAGGGUUGUAAAAUUCUUUCGCUAGGGAUGAUAAUGACAGUACCUAGUAAAGAAGCCCCGGCUAACUUCGUG
rnacentral:rRNA from 1 species